CAAAAAUCUUGAUCACCAUGGACCACCAGGGAGCCUGAGUGGUCUUAACAAUUAGACCACCAGGGAGACGUCCUAACUACUAGACCACCAGGGAGAGGUCCUAACCAGUGGCGGCUGGUGAUCAAAAAUACCACCAGGGAGGUCCUGACCACUAGACCACCAGGGAGGUCCUGACCACUGGACCACCAGGGAGAGGUUCUGACCACUGAACCACCAGGGAGAGGUCCUGACCACUAGACCACCAGGGAGGUCCUGACCACUAGACCACCAGGGAGGUCCUGACCACUGGACCACCAGGGAGAGGUCCUGACCAAUAGACCACCAGGGAGAGGUCCUGACCACUGGACAACCAGGGAGAGGUCCUAACCACUAGACCACCAAGGAGAGGUCCUGACCACUAGACCACCAGGGAGAGGUCCUAACCACUAGACCACCAGGGAGAGGUCCUGACCACUAAACUGAUAAGAACACAAGUAACAUUUUCAAGAACAGGGUGAAG
ensembl:lncRNA